rnacentral:lncRNA from 1 species
AUGCAUUAUUAUUUUUAAUAUAUGUGUACCUUUUCUCCGACGGGGUACUGUCCCCUGGAAUCCCCUUUCCAGUUGCUGUACUACCUCCAACGUCCUUCAAAGUCAGCCAUUGAAGUUAAAAUCAAAUAGAGCAGUCUAAGUAUAAUAUGGAGAUUUUUUAACAGGAUUUGAGGAAACAACUAGGGACUAGGGUCAAAGGGUUUCACAAAACCCUGAAUAAGAGUAGAAUUAUAAGAAAA